CUUAUUUAAUAAAUUAACAUGUUCUAGAACUUCAGGAUGAUCUUAUACAUAUGUAAGUUUUGAAAUGUCUUUAGAAAAACACUCAAGUUACAAAAUAUAAGUGGAAGCAAAAUUUACAUUUCAAUUUCAAUUUUAAAUCUAGACUACCUUUGGAGAGCUAAUUUACAAUAUUAAAUUUAAACUCAUUGCUACAGCAGUACUGCAGAAUCUGUGAAAGUGAAAAAGCAUCUUGCAAAAGUUCUACUCUGAAGGCAAGGAUGGUGUUUCCACAUGAAGUGGUCUAGAAGGUAACAAUGCAAUUUGCUUUGAUUGUAACUGAGAACUAACAUUUAAGAUAAUCCUGGGCUCUGUAGAUGAACGGUUUAAAAGUAAAAAAUGUUCUCAAUACUAGAAUGCACAAGCAAGCUUAAAAUCCAUUUGGACAAAGAAGAAAUUAGAAAAAUAACACACCAUUAUUGUUUUUCUUUACCUUACCAUAUGCACUGAAUAUAUAGUUUAUCCUUUGCCUUCUCUGAUAGCUCAUGUUAUUCACACAGUAUUUGCAAAUUCUGUCCUGGGUUCAGCAGUAGCAGCCAUUUUUCUCCUUCUUAAAUCAUGACAACUUCUCAACUUCUUUCCAAAGUCCAGUCAUUACCUAGUAUUGUAAUACCAUACAACUUCACCUAGAAACAUGUGCAAGGUCUCAUGUUACGCUUCAGUCCAUCUUCACUAAAUAAACAGAAUGUGCUUAUUUUUAAUCAGUCUAAAGUAGUCUAAUAGGACAAGGCUUUACAAAUACAAAAUAACUGCAUUAUAUAAAAGCAGCAAAUGUUUUUCUUAAAAACAUGAACUGACUCCAAGUGGGCCAGAACAGAAAUAUUUACUAUUAUAGUAGCACAACUUCUUAAAGUUGUGUUUUCAUAAAAUUGAAUUCUCUAAUUAAAAAAAAGUGACUGAUUUUCCCUACACACACACUGAAUUACUCAGGAUAACUAUCAGUAGGUUAACCCAGUAUCAGAUGCUAAGAGUAGCAGCAACAAAAUACAGGAAGUUCACAAUAAGGACAGAAGGUUUCAGAAUCACCUUAGAACCUUUUAUAUCUUUAUCAGAGAUAUGCAACCACUGAAAAGAAAUGAGAGGUCAAAACCUGUACACAAUCACACCAGAAAAUGUUCUUCCUUUUUCAGUGGAAAUGUAUUAAACACGCAGUCCUGACGUUGGCUACUAAAGGUCUUGGAUUCCCACACAGACCAAUACUGACAGAGAUGAGGUGACCAAAGCAAGGUGUAACAGCUCAAAUUACCACUCUAGAGCCUGACUUGGCUUGUUUGUACAUAGCAAGGUAGAAUGAAUCAUAUGCAUAAAAGAAAUUCUAUACUCUUACCAUAAAACUAUUCAGGUACACAGAUACUAUAGCAACUACAGAAGUUCCAGCUGUUUAUAUUUUGCUAAUUAUAACUUGCUUUGAUAAACUAAAAGAGGAAUUAUGUAGUUAUGGGUUAAAAUAGAAGGAGGAAAGCAAUUAUGGGACAAAACAGAAGGUGGAAUUCAGGCAGGGGGGAAAUAAAACCCCAAAACUGUAACAGCACAAAAGGAGGAGAAAAAAAGGUGGUUUGGUUUAGGUUUACCAACCCAAAAGUUUAUUUAGCAAAUCCCAGUUCACUGUGUGAUGCUAGUUUGAAUGUAAUAAAUUAGGUACUGCAGUACUGAACUCAGCCUCUGAUAACAAUAAUCAACUGCAAUUCAAACAACUUCCCACACACACACUGCCCCACACAAUCUAGGUUUGGGUGUAACCUACUACACAUUAAUUUCAAAUUCAGUUUAAAGCCUCUGAUUCAUUGCACAAAAUGGAUUAACUUUAAUUUAUUGUUAUAUCAAUACAUGAAGCACUUGAACUUUGUUACUUAAAUCUCCAGAAGCCAGAUAAAGUCUAUUUUACAUAUACCCAUUUAGCUGUGUCUGUCGUAGAGCCUUCAGAAUAACAUAGUAUGCACAACUGACAGCUUUGAUGGUAAUACAUACUGGAAAAGGCCAUUUCUGAGAUGGCACCAUUAAUCAAGCCACACUCAGCUAUUUCAUCAAAAAUACCAGUCAUGGCAUUAAUUGCAAGGUUUCAGGUGACAAUCAGCCAGCAGGCUCUGCUGAUUGAGAUGAAUCUUUUAAUGAUAGCUUAGGUGAUUAUAUUCAAUCUAUAUUUACAGAUUGCUUAGGCUGCUUGAUUGAAGAAAUUCCUGAUGAAAUACUUAUAGCUGAGAUUGGGACUGUUUCGUAGGAACAAGAAUGACACUGGGCUGCAAACAUCUGCACCUCUCAGCUUCUAGUCCUUCUAGGGCACUGCUGCGGGCACAACCAGCAGCUGGCAGCAAGCUGCAAGCCCGCUCCUUAUGAGCUAGAACAUUCACUCCAGCUGUUAAGUGCCAAGAGAGCACAACUGCAACUUGGGAAAUGAAAGCACACACAACUAAAACUCCCCCUGUAUUUAAAAUCAAGUGUAUUUAGAAUUACCUUGUUUUACUGAAAGCUGCUAAGUUAGUGAAUGCUGUUCAUACGCACGGAAAAUAUUGUUUCCCAGGUGUUGCAAACAGUAAAAAGCUUCUGCAUUGGAAGUAGGCAGUAAGGCCAACAGGAAUGACCUGCAAAUGUUCUUCAUGUCCAUUUUGCCAUGAUGAUAAAUAUAAUAAUGAUAAUUCCUUCUAGAAUUUCUCCAUGGCCUUUUCCAGAAAAAUAUUUAUUCAGAUUGCAGAAGAAAACUUAUUCCCUACA
ensembl:lncRNA